CCUGGAUCUCAGAGCCUUACACCAUUUCCUGGUCAGUGCUCCCAUCCCAGGCCAGCAGGCCAGCAUGUGCUGGAACUGACCCCAGGUCACAGAAGUGCUGAGUGGGCAGAGGCCAGGACUCUUCCCCAGGGUGCUGUUGUCAGGUUGAAUGAUCUCAGGACCUACGUCCUCUGCCUCCUGGAACUGCUUAGCACACACAUGAACUGGCUAAGCUUCCAGGCAGGCGAGGCACCCAACCACAGAGCCAAGAUGCACCUACUGGCGAGGACAAGGUUUUCUGCAAGCAGAUCUGAUGUUGGUUAGGGGCUGGGGUACCCUGAAUCAGGCUUUGCACGUUAUACUUUGCAGAGAAGAGAGGUCAGUGGCCUGUUCUCAUAGAGCUGAUAUCCCAUGAAUGCACCCAGAGGUUCUGGGCAUUUGGUGCCCAGAUGUUAGAAUACUUUUCUAUUUAUAAGAAAAAUAAAACAGAUGAAAACUUCUCUAAGGAAAAUAUCCAGCCUUGAUAGAGAAAAAGAUGAGUAGUUUUCUUACCAGGUAUAUCAUUAAGAAGACUUUUUAGGCAACUCUGUGCCAUGGAAGGGUGCUGGGUAAACAUCCCUGGGACUGCAGCCCUCCCCCUUGCCACCCCCCCCCGCUAUUGGAACCAAGCCCCCAUGCCUGCCUUGUCUGCUCAUCAUUCUUGAGUAAUAUUAUGGCUUCAGGUUUCAACUUUUCUUGCC
rnacentral:lncRNA from 1 species